UACGUAGGGUGCAAGCGUUAAUCGGAAUUACUGGGCGUAAAGCGUGCGCAGGCGGUUUUGUAAGUCUGUCGUGAAAGCCCCGGGCUCAACCUGGGAAUUGCGCUUAAGACUGGAGUGCUCGAGUGCGGGAGAGGUGAGUGGAAUUCCCAGUGUAGAGGUGAAAUUCGUAGAUAUUGGGAAGAACACCAGUGGCGAAGGCGGCUCACUGGCCCGCAACUGACGCUGAGGCGCGAAAGCGUGGGGAGCAAACAGG
rnacentral:rRNA from 1 species